UACGAAGGGUGCAAGCGUUACUCGGAAUUACUGGGCGUAAAGCGUGCGUAGGUGGUUUGUUAAGUCUGAUGUGAAAGCCCUGGGCUCAACCUGGGAAUUGCAUUGGAUACUGGCAGGCUAGAGUGCGGUAGAGGGUAGUGGAAUUCCCGGUGUAGCAGUGAAAUGCGUAGAGAUCGGGAGGAACAUCCGUGGCGAAGGCGACUACCUGGACCGGCACUGACACUGAGGCACGAAAGCGUGGGGAGCAAACAGG
rnacentral:rRNA from 1 species